GCGAACGCUGGCGGCGUGUUUUAGGCAUGCAAGUCGAUCGGCAGCGAUUCUGUAGCAAUACAGAAGUCGGCGAGAGGCGGACGGGUGAGUAACGCGUAGGAAUCUUCCCACAGAUUGGGGAUAGCCGGGAGAAAUUCCGGGUAAUACCCGAUAAUAUUGAGAGAUCAAAGGCGCUGUAAGGCGUUGUCUGUGGAUGAGCCUUCGUCCCAUCAGGUAGUUGGCGGGGUAAAUGCCCACCAAGCCAAAGACGGGUAGCUGGUCUGAGAGGAUGAUCAGCCACAAGGGAACUGAGACACGGUCCCUACUCCUACGGGAGGCAGCAGCCAAGAAUCUUCCGCAAUGGGGGAAACCCUGACGGAGCGACGCCGCGUGAAGGAAGAAGGUCUUCGGAUUGUAAACUUCUUUUGUAAGGGAAGAAUAAGUCUGCCAGGAAAUGGGCAGAUGAUGACGGUACCUUAUGAAUAAGCCCCGGCUAAUUACGU
rnacentral:rRNA from 1 species